rnacentral:lncRNA from 1 species
UUUUUAUUUUUUAGGCUAAUAUAUUUAUGGUGUGAUUUGAUAUCAUUAACAUGAAUUGUGAAAUUGCUUCCACUACACUUUCAUCAAACCUCAUGAUGUUCACCAAAAUUUGUGUGUGUAAACCAUGAGCCUCAAGUUUACUAGUUGAUAAAGUUUUGCAACAGGACAUCAAAAGUGUAUCCAUGGUUUGAUGAAGUACAUGUAGCAAGGUAAUUAUUGUAUAUGUUUAAAAUGUAUGUUUGCAUAAAAGACAAUUGUUGGGAUUGACUCAACAUCUGAUAUGUGUCUGUCUUAAUUGACAUCAACUUUCAUCUAAGGUAUAUGAUCAUUUUGAUGCUGUUUGCUAUUGUUUUUAGCACAUCAGAAGUAUUAAUUUGUGUUGCUUCCAUUUCAGAGAAUUGACACAUGCAUGUUUUCUUUUUUAUUUGAAUGGUAAUUUAAUUACAUUUACUGUACAAAAAAAGCAAUUACAAAAAAACAUCAUACUUUUUUUUUACAAUAAUUUUACAAUUAUUAAAAAAUUGCAAGUAAAAUUACAAGUAAAAUUUAUAAUUGUAAGAUUACAAUUACAAAACUUUCUAUUUUUUCUUAUACAGCUAACAUUGUUAUUGUUUGCUCCUAUAUACAAGUACAUGUAUAUGCCACUGCACAUGUAUCUAUGAUGGAAGUCCUCCCAAGAGACAUCAACACAGAGAAUUCACUGAACAUUUAAAUGGACAUGGAUGUUUGUCAAAGGUCAUGUUAGAUUGAACACCUGUAUUACCUUAUAAUUAUUAAUGAACAGUAAGUUGUUAUUAUCUGUAUUUUUUAAAGUAUAACUAAUUUGUCUUAUUGAUUAUCAAGAAUAUAUCACCAGCAAAGUAACUCAAGAAUGUGCCUAGCAUGAGUUAGUUUAAGUCUGUUUGACGUGUG